UCCAAUUUUCACUUAUCAGAGAAUUUCAGACCAUCCUGUGUGGUCCAUCAGACUCAGGAAAUGUGCAUUCUUCUAACGACAAAAGCAACAGUACUGAUAAUGAUGAUUAAUAAUCAGAAUGCCUUAAAUGUCAUUAACAUGACCAAACGCUAGGGGCAGUAUCUUCUUUCCUUCGUUCUCUCUUCAGUGUAGAUCACCGUUCUGACUCCCUCCUGUGUGCGCGCCUUUCCCCGUCCUUUCUCUCCUGCGGCUUCAGAGCAGCGCUGCAAGCCAACUUACAGAAGAGCCUCCCCCAUAGUCUUCCGUUCAGCCAGCCACGCACCACCCACGAGGCCACACAGAUCAGCCAGCCAGACCGGGACUGAAGAAGUCAGCUCGGAAGUGACUCCUACAGCCCUUAGCGGUCUGGAAGGAUUGUUUUGCAGCAACAGACAACUGGAAUGGGAUGGAGAAGGGUUCAUAGUGGCACCAUCUCCCAGGGAGGAGGACAGGGAAGAGGCAGAGAAGAGCCUCGCAGGACGGCCACAAAUGUCACCUGUGCCACUGACCAGCUCUGAGCCCUUAGGCAAGAUCUUGUACAUCUCUUCGUGCCUCAGUUUCCUCAUCUGUAAAAGGGGACCAGAAGGAUAUCUCUCAAGGUGUCACUACGAGGUUUAAAUAAGCUUUAAUAAUACAUGCGAGAUUGUACACCCAGUAAGUCCUCAAUAAAGGUUCUUAUUCCAA